rnacentral:rRNA from 1 species
AUGUCGACCAAACGACGUGCUCGAGGGUGCAGCAGGGCCGCGACGGCGUCAGCGCCGGCGAGGGAACCCCUCCCGGUCGAUCUCCUGCUCGAGAUAGUCGUGUGCACCGACGGCAUAACCGUCGUCCGCUGCGCCGCCACCUGCAGGAUCCUCCGCCGCGCCAUCGUCGACCUGGCCUUCCGCCGCCCCCUCGCGCUCCUAUCUGCGACCGAUCGCCGCGGCUUCGACCCCUCCCUCCUCCUCGGUGUUUCCUUCCAGCGACGGCGUCACAUCCCUCGUGUGAUCCCCACCCCAACUCCACCCCAGAUCCACAUCCGCCCGGGCACCCACAGCCUCCCGGACUCGUUCGAGCCCCGGACGUCUCGCGACGGCCUGCUCCUCCUCUGCCGGUACCGGUCAGGCAACCUCCAGCUGCGCGUCUGCAACACCUUCACCGGAGACGUAACCUCUUUGCCCAAAAUCGACUUGUCCUACGCGCCCGUCUUCCUCAGCGUCGGCGACGCCGAUCAUGUUUUUUCUUUGGUUUGGCCCUCCCUGAUCUGUUUCAGCAGCACUCGGCCCCCUCAAUCCUUUUUUUCUGCCUCCGCCACUGCCUACGAGCUGCUCAUCUCCGGCAGGCACCUGCGGUUCCGGACCUUCUCCUCCAAGCAUGGCCAAUGGGGCAUCAUCCGCCAAGCCUCCGUCGCCGAGCACUACCAAAAGCCGAAACGGCUGUUUGUCUCCCGUCCCGCCGUCAUCGGCCGCACCGUCUUCUGGCUCUGCCUCCUGAAAAUCCAUGGGUACCAGUACCGCCCGGACGGCAUCGUAGCUCUGGACGUCGACGCGGCAGAGGCGACGACCAUGAACCUCCCGCCAGGCUGCACCUCCACAACCACAGGGAUCCUUCCUGACGAAGACAAGCACCUCCUCUUGGCCUCCGUGCGUGGCCGUCUGAGCUUGCUCGUCGCCAUGAGAUGUGGGAUAUCAAUGUGGACUUUCACGCCGGCCUCGUCGCCUGAGUCCACGGCGACGUGGAACUGGCGGCUGGUGAUCGGUAGGGUGGAGUUUGAGAAGCAGGUGGAUCUGGUCGGCUCGCCUCCUCCAUAUGUUAUUGAGGGGUUCGGAGAGAGGAGCGGCACAGUUGUCGUGCGGAGCAGCAACGAGCUCCUCCGGGUUGAUCUAGGAACCAAGGUUGUCACCAGGCUCCAUAGCUCGAGAAAUGCGUUGGUCACGUACCCGUUUUUGUUCUGGCACGAGGAAGAUCUGGUCUCUUUGCUUCAAGCCAUGACGUAUUUCUGA